UACAGAGGGUGCGAGCGUUGUCCGGAAUCACUGGGCGUAAAGGGCGCGUAGGCGGUCUGCUAAGCGUGCGGUGAAAGCCCGGGGCUCAACCCCGGGUCGGCCGUGCGAACUGGUGGACUGGAGCUUGUCAGAGGCAGGCGGAAUUCCGGGUGUAGCGGUGGAAUGCGUAGAGAUCCGGAAGAACACCGGUGGCGAAGGCGGCCUGCUGGGCAGUAGCUGACACUGAGGCGCGACAGCGUGGGGAGCAAACAGG
rnacentral:rRNA from 1 species